UACGAAGGGAGCUAGAGUUGUUCGGAAUCACUGGGCGUAAAGGGCGUGUAGGCUGUUUUACAAGUUAAGGAACAAAUCCCUAAGCUUAACUUAGGUUUCUUUUUAAUACUGUAAGACUAGAGUCUCUAAGAGGAUGAUGGAAUUAUGCAUGUAGAGGUGGAAUUCAUAGAUAUGCAUAAGAACACCGGAGGCGAAGGCGAUCAUCUGGUAGAGUACUGACGCUGAGGCGCGAAGGCGUGGGGAGCAAACA
rnacentral:rRNA from 1 species